rnacentral:lncRNA from 1 species
AUUAACAGGUCUCCAACUUAUUGGUAAUUGACUAAGGCCCAAGAAGAAAGAAUACAAUCAAAUGAAAAUUUUAAUAAAAACAAUAUAAUCUGAGAAAAUUAGAAAAUAACCCAAAAUCUCAUACCUGACUAGCUUGAGACACUUGCAAUACAUCUUGGAGAUGACCCCGUGCACUCUGCACAUGCCCCACUGCUCUUCCUGCUAGCCUCCCUGCUGCUCUAGCAAUUAUAGGUAGGUCCUUGGGCCCUAUAAAAAUAACCCAACAAUUUAUUUAGAAUAAAAAAAACUGAUAUUGUACCUGUUGGAAAAAUAUGGAAGAUCUUCUGAUGAAUCAUUAUAGAAAAUGCAAUUUUACAGGAUGGAUAAAUAAUUGAACACAUGAACAUUAACAAGUACUAUUCAAAUAUAACACAUUAUUUUACCUUGGGUGAGGUUUGUAUAAGGUGUCAACCUUAAACAUUCAAAGUAAGGCACACCUCUAAAUCUUGCUAAAAAGGGCAGCUUUCGUGCCAAAAAUACUAUCGAUGACUUAAAAAUCUACCCCUAAUUAUGAAAUCCAAAGCUCCAAAAAAUUGGUGUAUAUCAAGCAGUUCUAUAAACAUUCAAAACUUUAAAAAAUGGACCGCCUAGAUAAUGUGUUACAAGACACAUUACUUUUAGGACUUGAAAUCCUUUUUUUCUCAUAUCUAUACAUCUCCGGGUCGAAAUGAUUAAAUGCAGUGUCUCUGUCUUUCGCAUCGCGCAGAAAUACUGGUUACAGGGAUGCCAUAAAAACAUAAUCACCCAUCAAAACUCAAACCUCAAAUUCGUCUGAAUAACUACAACUUUAAAUGUGCAGUGUAAAAUUGCAUAUAUUGCCAAAAAAAACAAGACAUGUAAAAUAAUCUAAAGAUAAAAUGAUAAGUGCCGUGUACAACCUAAAAUUCAAAAACAUUUCAAUGGCUAUACCCUAAUAAAUAAAUGAAUAUCGAAGCUUUAGGGUUUUGUAAGCCAUAAAUUCUGGAAAAAAUUUGAUGAACCCCAAUUGAAGAAGCUUACCAAUCAAAGCAGCGGUUGCUCCCAAUAUGAGAAAAAUCUCACCAUAUGAGAGACCCAGCAUCUCUCUGUAAGUUAGGGCAAAAGAAAACCUAUGAGAAGAAAACCAUUAAUGAAAAAUUCAGUACCGAUAGGAAAUGCGAGGAAGAAACGAGAGACAUAUGAGCAAAGAACUUCUCUUUUAAGGAAGGAAAGAUAAACUAGUUGUGUAUGAUAAAUGGUACACUAGCAAGAAAGACACCGUUAAUAUACGAUGCUGAACGGUGGAGAUUUACAGGAACCGUGUGAAUUCCUAUCAUUGGGAAUACUGUUACUCUCUGCUGUCUAUAUAACUUUGGGGCGUCUAGGAACUAGAAGUUGGAAAUGAUACCUGCAAUUCCUACUUCUGAGAUCCGGAUUUAAAUACUACGUUUGGUUACCUGUCGAAAAUUUCUACAACAGUGAUGUUUCAACAUGGAAGCUUGCAAAUUUGGAGCCCAGAAUUUUGCAAAAAUUUGGAGCCCAAUGCUUCCCCUAUGGUGUAAUCCCUCAGCCAAUCCAUUUUGAAUGGAAGGCUAAGAUUGCCCCAAUCUCAAUGUCUCGUCUUUAUACUAUUUUAUUUUUAAAUUUGUUUCUAUAAACUAUUUUGACACUUAAUUUUGGACGUCCAAUCCUCUAUUAAACUUGUACGAGCGAAAAAUAUUAAAAAAUAUUUUUAAUAAAAUAAAAUGAUCAAAACCCUUUGAAAGUUUCAAAGGGUAUUUUGGUCAUGAUAUUUUAUUGAAAAUUUAGUUUUAAUAUUUUUAAUAGGUGCGGCCCAAUGAGAUGAUGGCAUGAACCAAAUUUCAUAAUCAUACAAUUUGUAUAAAAAAGACAAAAAAUAAAAUGCUUUGAGACGUCGGAUCUAAGAUCAAACAUUGAGUGACUCUCUUGAUCAAAAUUGGACGGCUGGAUGGUAGGGGAAGCAUAGAUCUUCUAUAUUGUAGGAUAAGUAUAGAAACAUUUUCCCUAAACGAUGUGGUUUAGGUAAGGCUAAUGCCCUAAACAAUCAAAAUAAAGCGCACCCUCAAACAGUGUCGAAAGAUGUUGGUUCAGUACUUAAAAUCUUGGUGAUGUCCCUAAAAUGUUGACCGUCUAGAAAAUAAAUUACAAGAUGCAUUAUUUCUAAGACUUGAAAUCCAUUUUUUCUCAUAUCCAGACAUCUUAAGGUCGGGAUGAUCGAUUUAAUGAUUUUUGGGUAUCGAAAUGACGUCUUCUAAUGAAUUUUUGAUGUGCGUCUUAAUUUGAUUGUUUAAAACAUCACCCUCAUAUAAACUCUUUCCCUACAUAAAAUCAACCAUUUUAUUCGUAAAUUUCUUUAAAACCAACAAUUUUUCUCUACAAAAUUGUCUCAAGUUAUAACUAAAAUUGCACUUAGCUCAUAAAAAAUCCAAUCCAAAUUGAGAGUUGAAACAUCAAAACAUACCCAAUUAACUUAAAAAACAGAGAAAUUCACAAAAUCAAAACAUACCCAAAUAACUUAAAAAACAAAGAAAUUCACAAAAUAAAAUGGAAGAAACGUAAACAGAAGCAAAUAACAAGAAACUAAACUAAAUAAAUAUUUAUAAUAUUUUUUCCUUUAAAAUAAUGGACACUAUGCCCUUAAGGAAGUAUAGUUUACUUCUACUCCCUCGGUCAGAAUAUUUAUUUGGGAGGAUUUUUUUUCCAACUUGAAAUUUUGCUAAUCACCUAAUAAUCACUUGAUAAUUAUUAUCAUAAGAAAAAUUUGAAAUCAGAGUCUUCUUACACUUAAAUCUCAACAUAAAAAAUUUGAAUGAUCUUUAAUGAACUGAGUCAUUAUUUUUUUCAAGUGCAUAGAUGGUAUAAUUAAGGAUUUUUUUUCGGAAAAAUUAUAUAUACAUCCAUUAUUUUAAACGCUAUUACAACUAAAACUUUCACUUAUUACAUUCGAAAUUUUGGAUAUUACAUGUAUACCCGUUCUUAGGAGCCCCAAUUAUUUUUUUUUCCAAUAUUUCCCUAUUUUUCGAUCUUCAGGAUCUAAAAUAAAAAAAUUCAGAACUUAAAGGUCUGAAAUUCCUUUAUUUCAAAUCUUUAAGAAUAAAAAAAAAAAAAAAAAUCGGAAUAUCAAAAUCCGGAAUUUCUCUAUUUUUCAAUCUUUAGUAUCUAAAAUAAAAAACAUUUCGGACUCCGAAAUUGUUGAUUUUUAUUUUAUAAUUUUUGAAUUUUGAAAAUUAAAAAAUUUUAUAUUUUGAAAAUUAAAAAAUUUUAUAUUUUGAAAAUCUGAAAAAUUCAAUCAUACUUAGUUCAUGCAAAAAUAAAUUGUGAAUUUUGAAACUCCAAAAAUAACAAUUUAGUAUUUUUUAAGUUAUUGGCAAAAUUUUAUAAUAACAUAUAUAAAAUGGGUAGAGUAGUAAUAAUAAGAAUAUUUAGGUGAAAUUAAAAUAACUCCAUUGAAAGCUUAUAGCACAAGCCAGAAAUAUAGUUUCUUGGUUUAUUUAAAAAGAGACAUAACAUUUUCCGUUAUUACUAACCUACCCAUUUUAUAUCCGUUAUUACUAUAUUUUCUCAACAUUUAAAAAAUAUCAAAUUAUGAGUGAGAUCAAUUGAUAUUAUCACACCUAACUUCAGGAGGCACUUUUUUGCAUAUGAAGCCAGGCCUUUCACCGCACUUGGGCUUAGUUGAACACCAUGUGUUCGAAGUUUUGCCAAGUUUAUCAAGAAGACCUAUACCCAUCCCUAGCUCGUUUAGAAGUCAUUACCAGGGUUUUUUUGGCUGGGGACCAUAUGGUCAUUCCACGACUUAUUAAAUGUGUUACAAAACAAACGCUGUUAUUUAUUUUUCUUAUUAAAACACGUUAAUCCAAUGUUAUUUAAAAAUGCAAAGAAAUUCCUUUAUUAUGGUCUGGGAUUUGACCAAAAUAAAUCUCCUUUGCACCUUUUUAGAAUCUCUCCAAUUUUGUUUUUUGUUUAAAUGUGUAACAACAAAAUAACAUUUAUAAUGGGAAAUACCAAAAUUUUGGCUAGGAUUCAACCGAUAACGAUAAAUAAAUGAACAAAAAAUAACACUAGAACUUAAAAGGUAGAAGUUGCAUAACAAAUCUUUGCACCCACCAUCCAACUGUGAAUUAUUUUCAUACAAGCAAAGAACGAAAAGAAAAAAAAGAAAUGUUAUAGAUGGAGAUGUCUGAUAUUAAAAACAUUGGACUGCUCCAUACGUACAGAUCUUUAGAAUACCGAACUGCCCCAAUCUUAGGGCAAUUCGAUGUUCUAAUAUUGAAUUAUCCCAUAAAUGGGGCAACCCGAUACCUAGGGCAUCAUACUGCCCUAGAAUUCAUGAAAUUGAAUAAAUUAGAAGAAAAAAACCACAAAAAGAAUGACUUUCGCAUAAAAUCGGGGCAACCAUGAACCACAUGGUAAUUCUGCAAUUAUUUUCACACCGAGAGUAAAUUUUCUAUUUUUAAAAAAUUAGGUGAGCUCUCUCGUGAUACGUAUCGCGACCUCUAGUAUAAUAUUAUAAUUAGUAAGAUUGUGUCGUUGAAUUAUCAAAGCCCUUCCCAUCAUAAACCGAGUUUUCACAUUGAAGGUGGCCCAAGUUCAUGAAUCCUAGCAGUUCAAGGGGCUCGAUGGUGGAAAGAAUGAGAACUUAUUAGGGCUCGUGUUGUUCUUCUUUCGUUUUCCAUUGGUAAAUAUGAUUUAAGGGGUCAAAUCCCCUUGCAAAGUCAUUAAGCAAUAAAAACCCCAAUUAAUCAAUUUAUUUUUUUAAGUUUUAUUUGGAGAAUUAUCCUCGUACCUCUUAUUUUUGUUUUUAUAUCUCAAUAGAUCAAAAUAUAUCUCCUAACCCCUUGACUAAUUUUAUCCACUUUUAAUUAUUUUUUUAGCCUUAACAAAUAUAAAAAAGGCAUGUUCAUUUUAAACCCACAUUCUCUUUUCGUGAUAUAUUCCCUCGUAAAUUUCUCUCUCUAACAUUCACCUUUUUUUUCCCUCUAAUGGAGGAGAAAGAGAGUGAGAGAUACGAGAAGAGAGAGUUGAAAAAUAGGUAGAGAGAAUAAGAUUUAGGGAAAAUAUUGUGGAGAGAGAAAUGAUGGUGUUUAGAAAAGAUAUGUCUUUCUUAUAUUUGUUUGGAACAAAAAAAUAAGUUCAAAGGGGAUAAAGUUUGCUUGGGAAGUUAAAAGAUAUAAAACUUAGAAUUUUUAUGACCUAAUAUAUAUUUUGAAACAUCCAGUCUAUUGAGAUAUAAAACUAAAAAAUGAGACGUAUGGAGAUAUUUUUCUUUUUUAUUUCAUUCAACUUCCUCAUCAAGAAAAAUCUUUAAGAUUACCCAAAUUACUCAUAUUUGGGAUUACAACCGUAAAUAAACAAAUAUUGACAUUUCACUAAUUUCAUUCACAUGAAGAAGUUGGGCUAUUCUAGUUAUUUGGUUGGGCCUUCUCAGGCAGGUCAAAUUACUAAAAUGCUCAUGUCUAUGCAUGAUUAUUAACUUUGAAUAGGAAAGGUGCUAGGUCGUGGUGGUAGUAUCCUCACACCUAGUUACUAUAUUGUGGUAUCCAUUCCUACUGCUGACACCAUCAAUUGACACCUUCAAAAUGUAACUAGCCUAACUUCAAAACGGGUAAGGGCAUACCUUUCCCACUAAAUUACCUAAAAAAAAUAAAAAAAAACUUUGAAUAGAGACAAUUUAGGCUCUUUAUGAUAAUUGGGGAAAUUUUAGUAUUAUAAUAGUAUUUUUUAGGAGGUACCCAAAUAAAUAAAUAAAGGCCUCUUAUGUUGAUUAUAGUUUAGUUGAUUCCUUAUGAGCUUUAAUUGGCUUAACCCCAUGUUAUUUUCUUUUCAAAAUUGAUUUUAAGUUUCCCCAUUAUAACUUUAUAAAUAAACAUACCACAUAUGUUCGUCCUAUUUUUUGUAAGAAAACAUUUAACCUGUUAGUUUUCAUUAUUUUUAGAUAGAACACAUACUUGCAUCCAUCUAGAUGCUUUGCACUUUUUGCGAUAUCAUGCGGUCUAGUCCUCAUGAAACAAUUUUCCCAUUUAGAUCAUGUCUAUAAAAUUCACAAGCCCUCUCUCAGUCACACAAACCCUAGCUCGUCUAAUAACAAAAAAUAGGAUACCAAAAGGAAUCCAAAGCACAACAAUAUAAUAUGGCCCAAUAUGCUUCUUGUGAGUGGCCCUGGGAGAGAAUGAGGUAAUGUUAAAUACGAGUUUAGUGACGAGUCACUAUAGUUAGCAAAUUUCCAUUUAAAAUACUACGGAGUGCUUCGAAAUUUUUGCGUGAGCUGAAGUGCUUCAAUUUUUUUUGGAUUUUUAAAAUCUGAUAUUUUUUAAUUUUUAAAAUUUUAAAAAUUUAAAAAUUAUAAAAUAAAAAAUCUACAAUAGAGUCCAAAAUGUUUCUUAUUUCGGACACUAAAGAUCUAAAAAUAGGGAAAAUUCGAACUUUGAUAGACUGGAUUUUUUUUUUUUUUUUAAUCCUAAUGAUAUGAAAAUAGGAAAAUUUUGGACCUUUAACUUCUAAAUUUUUAUUUUUUUUAUUUCGGAUCCUCAAUAUCCAAAAAUAAAGAAAUAUAGGAAAAAAAAAUUAGGGGCUCCUAAGAACAGGUGUACAUGUAAUAUCCAAAAUAUCAAAUGUAAUAAAUGAAAAUUUUAGGUAAAAUUCUAAUUUAUUACUGUUAUUACAACAUUUUGCCAAUAAUUUAAAGAAUGAUCAAAUUAUCCUUUUUUGGAUUUUCAAAAUCCGAAAUUUAUUUUUGCGUGAACUAAGAAUGAUUGAAUUUUUCGAAUUUUAAAAAUUUUAAAAAUUCAAAAAUUAUAAAAUAAAAAAUUUAUAAUUUCGGAGUCCGAAAUAUUUUUUAUUUCGGAUACUAAAGUACUGUGAAAGUAGGGAAAUUUUGGACUUUGAUAGUCAGGAAUUUUUUUUUGGGAUCCUAAAGAUUCAAAACUAGGUAAAUUUCGGAUCUUAAAGUUCCAAAUUCUUUUUUUAUUUCGGAUCAUAAUUAUACAAAAACAGGACAAUAUUGGAAAAAAAUUCGGGGCUCCUAACAACGGAUAUAUAUGUAAUAUCCAAAAUUUUAAAUAUAAUAAGUAAAACUUUUAAGUAAAAUUGUAUUAACUCUUACAUGACGGAUAUAUGUGUAAUUUUUCCAAUAUUUUUUGGCUCCCAUUAAACCAAUCGCAUAUCCUUAUGACGUCAUACACGGUUUUAAGAUAUCCCUUUUUCUUGUAGACCAAAUAUUAUUUGCUUAUUUGAAAUAAAUAUUGAAGGGCUGAGAUUUUCUUAUGCAACACUAGUGGCAUGAUGGUAAACACUGGUCGUGUAGGAACUCUUAUUUUUACUCGAGUUAGUUUGAAACCUAUUUAAUGCAUACAAGAACAUAUUUCCAUUCCUGGUUUGUGCCACUGAUCAAUACUUUGUUCUUGUAGCGAGAUAAGAACAAAAAAUAGAGAGGUGAACCAUUUCCGAAGGUAUGUACUGAUUUCUAUAUUAUUUUGUACAUGAAUUUCAUCUUUUCAAAAGAUUUACUGGUUAGUAAUUACAAUUAAAUGCCAUGUUAACCACCCGAAGAUUUUAGUAAUCUGCUCAAACAUUUUUGAUAAAUUAAGAUAAUGCGUGAACUCGAUGAUUGAAUUUGUUGAAUUUUCAAAAUUUGAAAUUUUUAAUUUUUAAAAUUUUAUAAUCCAAAAAUAAUAAAAUAUAAAAUAUACAAUUUCAGAAUACGAAAUGUUUUAUAUUCCAGACAUUGAUUGUAUGGAUUUUUUUUUUUUUGGGAAUCCUAAAGAUCUAGAAAUAGGGAAAUUUUGGACCUUGAAGUUCUGAAUUCUUUCUUUAUUUCGGAUCCUUAAUAUCCAAAAAUAAGACAAUAUUGGAAAAAAAAAUUGGGACUCCUAAGAACGGAUAUGCAUAUAAUGUCCAAAAAUUUAAAUGUAAUAUGUGAAAAUUUUAAGUAAAAUUGUAACAACUCUUUAAUGACGGAUAGGUGUGUAAUUUAUCCAAUAUCUUUUGGCUCCAUUUAAACCAAAUACCAUAUCCCUAUUACGUCAUACUCUUUUUAAGAUAUCUCUUUUUAAGAUAUCCAUUUGUGAUUGUAAUCUUCCUUUUCUUGUAAAUCAAAAUUUAUUUGCUUAUCUUAAAUGAAUAAUGAAGGGCUGAGAUUUUCUCAGGAGACACUAGUGGCAUGAACCAUUUCCGAAGGUAUGUUCUGAUUUAUGUAUUAUUUUUGUACAUGAGUUUCAUCUUUUCAAAAGAUUAACUGGUUACUAAUUACAUUCAAUACUUUGUUAACCACCCAAAUAUUUUCAACUUCACUUUAAUAAUCUUUUCGGAUAUUUUUGAUAAAUUAAGAUGAUCGAUUUUCAACACUCAGAUCAUUACAUGGCAAGAUGUUUUUUAAGAAAUAAUUAAAUGAAUAUUUUAAAAACUGAGAUCAUUAAAAAAAGUUACAAACAAUUCUUCGAAUUUUGGGAUGAAAGCAACAUAGGGAGGCUCUUGAUAACCACAUAAAUCAAAUAAAACGAUUUCAAAUAUCUAUCGACACCGAAAAUAAAGAAGAAGAACAAAAGAAAAAACACAAGCCAUGUACGAUUCUUUUUUUCCUUCUUGUUUUUUACAUAAAAAAUUGAUUCGUUAGUAGGAACUCUGUUUUGUUUGUCUAUAUAUUUCACAAAAGGCGUACCAGAUGAAUCUAAUACAAAAGAGAGGCAUGCGUUAAUCCUAGCUCAUCAAGAAAGUAAACUCAAUAUUCAAAGAAUUAUGUAUUUCUAGGAAGAAUUAAUUUCUCAGAAUUACCCCUCUAAGAAUUUGAUUAAAAAGACAAUAGGAAUAUUGCAGAGACCGUCUUAUUUCCUACGAAAUCUAAAGCUCAUGGAUGACAUUGUUAAUAAAGAGAGACAUUAUCGGUCUUAGGGCAACCAUGUCUGAAACAGUCGGACAUGAACGUAGAUGUAAAAUAUUGAGUAAAGCUUUCAAAUUGCAAUAAAUAUGAGGGAUAUUUAUGCAGAUACCAAAAUUGAAUUUCCCUCUUUCCAUCUCCUUUGUUCAGAACUUCAGCUUCACUUGCAGGUCCACCAACUUCUUGCUACUAUGGACUAUUUCCGCACCAACAGCUUGAAUGGCUUCUGCAUGGGUAAACUGGAAAGCGAACGAGUAAGGUUGCAUUCCCCGAUUGUUGACCCUGAAGGCCCGAUAAAAGGAAGCAUAAUCUUCGAAAAUGGCCUGUCUCAGCGCAUAACGUUCACUAGUUUACUCCCUACUCAGCAAGAUAACAAGCGUAUCACCAUCAUAACCUCUACCCAAUGGCUAAACACCAGACCAAUCACUUAUCAUUUUUUGAAGGAUAGGUUCCAUCGUAUGGAUGUGGCCUACCAAAUCAUCAAUCAUGUAAUAGAUUAUCUCACUAAUAAAUUCUGGGAGAAAUUAGAGGUCAUUAAUAGAGAGCCCAUGGCACCCCAAGAACCACUUGUGGUAAAAUUGUGGAUGGAGAUUGUGAGAGAGGUAGAAGAUAUAGUUGAAGACGAAGCACCAUCUUUUGUUUCUAGGUAUGCAGUGGAGUCCUUCGAGAGGGUAGAUAUUGAAGAGGAUGAAGAGGUUAUCUCCAUCAUUUGCAUAUGUGAGAUGGAUUCCAGAACAGUUGAUGCAAGGACGAUGCCUUGUUCGCACAGAUGUCAUGGGGAGUGCAUUCUCACUUGACUAGAGAAUGGAAGUAGCUGUUCGGUGUGCCGUUACCAGUUGCCCAUUGCCAACUGAAUAAUUGUUAUAAAAGUUUUCUUCUUUGGUUUUUUUGUGUCUUGAAUUAUUGUUAUAAAAGUUGUCUUCUUUGGUUUUUUUGUGUCUUGAUGUAAGAGAGAACCUAUGACCUUAGAACUGUUUUUCCCAUAUUCUAUUUUAUAGAUGUAAGAGAAAUACUUGCUGGAAUUGGCCAUUCUUAGUAAUCUCCUCAAUGAACGAUCCUUGUUCGAAGUGAUUAAUUACCUGAUAUUAAUCUCUUCCAUAUAUGGUGAUUGCUAUUUUCCAAAUUCUUGUUUUAAUCCAUUUCGAUCAUAACUGGAAUCAUGCUCUGGUUUCCUUGUCUGGGGUUUGUAAUCCAAAUUCUUGUGUUGAAUUCCAAGAUAUCAUGUGGGGAAUCAUGCUCUGGUUUCCUGGUCAGGGGUAUGUAAUCCUAUUUUCAAGUAACUGAAUAUGCAGCAAAUUAAUUCCAAUUGCCAAACAACAAAAAUCCAUCAUAUGAUACUUUGCCAUUUUGAUAUAAUGUACCAUGAACAGGUCUCCAAAUUAUUGGUAAUUGACUAAGGCCCAAGAAGAAAGAAUACAAUCAAAUGAAAAUUUUAAUAAAAACAACUUAAUCUGAGAAAAUUAGAAAAUAACCCAAAAUCUCAUACCUGACGAGCUUGAGACAUUUGCAAUACAUCUUGGAGAUGACCACGUGCAGUCUGCACAUGCCCCACUGCUCUUCCUGCUAGCCUCCCUGCUGCUCUGGCAAUUAUAGGUAGGUCCUUG